CAUUAGUCGAGUUGUCAAGUUCUUGCUCAUUUCUUUUUAAUUUUUUUUGACAAAUAAAUUUCUAAUUUGUCAGUUCAUAAUAUUUCAGUCAAUUUAAAUCAAAUUUGGGACUAAUCCCUGAUUCUCCAAAAUUCAUUGGCAUGCGUAAACAUUUUCCCCAUAUGAUUGAAAAACUGUUAAAAGUAAUCGCUUAUGAAAAAAAUCUUAUUCUUCUAUUCAAGUUACAUAUCUAAUGCGUUGCACAUUUCGUAUCAAACUCCCACGGCUUAUUGCAAAUUCAAAAUUAUUGAAUCGCCAUCUCAAUUUCUCGACAACCACAGCAAAAGGCUUUCAAAUUUAUAAUUCUCUAACAGAAGAACAUAGUUUAUACAAUUCUUUGUUGAACAUGUGUUUGCAGCAAUGCCAGAUUGUCCAGUCCCGCCAAGUGUUCGAGGAAAUGCCAAAAAGACUCGGUCUUUCUUUAAAGACUGGCAAAAUUGUCCAUGCCCUGAGUUUGAAACUUGGGAUUUCCUCCAAAGGGAAUUUGGGGAAUGCAAUUUUGGACUUGUAUUCAAAAUGUGGCCACAUUGAUUAUGCGGAAAGGGUAUUUUUACGCCUAGAGGAAAGGGAUAAAAUGGCAUGGAAUUCGAUUAUGUUCAUAUAUUCGCGUAACGGGUUCUUGGAAAGUGUUGUGGAGGCUUUUGGGUCCAUGUGGAAUCGAGGGGUGCUGGGGAAUCAGUUCAGUUGUGCAAUUGUUUUAUCUGCUUGUGCAAAGUUGAUGGACUUGAAGUCUGGGAAGCAAGUGCAUUGUGGGGUGGUAAAAAUGGGAUUUGAAGUUGAUGCAUUUUGUGAGGGUUCUUUGAUUGAUAUGUACUCGAAAUGUGGGUACAUUGAAGAUGCUAGGAAAAUAUUUGAUGGGGCUACCGACCACGACACAGUUUCGUGUACUGCCAUGAUCUCGGGGUAUGUUCAAGUUGGUCUGCUUGAGCAGGCAAUGGAAAUGUUUGAGGAGAUGAGAACAGGAAGUCACAUGCCGGAUCAGGUAGCAUUUGUAACCACCAUAAAUGCAUGUGUGAAGUUAGGAUGCCUUGAUGAUGCGUGCCAUUUGUUUUCUCAAAUGCCUAAUCCAAACAUUGUUGCGUGGAAUGUACUUAUAUCAGGGCAUGCCAAGGGUGGUCAUGAGGGGGAAGCUAUUGGACUUCUCCGAAAUAUGAUCAAAGCUGAUUUCAAACCAACACGUUCCACACUAGGAAGUGUUUUGAGUGCUAUUGCAUACUUAGUAAACUAUGAAUAUGGCCUGCAGGUUCAUGGUUUGGCAAUGAAGCUGGGGCUGGAUUCUAAUGUUUAUGUUGGAAGUUCUUUGAUUAGUAUGUAUGCCAAAUGUCAGAAAAUGGAAGCUGCAAAGGAAGUGUUCAAUGGACUGGGAGAGAAAAAUGAUGUGCUAUGGAACGCAUUACUUGGAGGUUAUGCACAGAAUGGGUAUGCUUGUGAGGUUCUAGAGUUAUUUUUGAAUAUGAGAAUCUGCGGAUUUCAUCCUGAUGAAUAUACCUACACUAGUGCUUUGAGUGCUUGUGCUUGUUUAGGAAAUAUAGAAACAGGGUCCCAGUUACAUUCGGUUAUAAUCAAGAACAAAUUUGAACAAAACUUAUUUGUAGGAAAUGCUCUAGUAGAUAUGUAUGCUAAGUGCGGGGCUCUGGCCAACUCAAGGAAGCAAUUUGAGCUAAUCAAAAGUCGAGAUCAUGUUUCUUGGAAUGCAAUCAUUGUUGGAUAUGUGCAGGAAGAAGAAGAGGAAGGAGCUUUUUCUUUGUUCCGUAGAAUGAUGUCAGAGGGGAUUGCACCUGACGAGGUAUCCUUAGCUAGCAUACUCAGUGCUACGGCAAAUUUACAAGAUCUUUAUAAGGGUACACAAGUACACUGUUUUUUGGUAAAAUAUGGUCUAGAAAGAGCUCUUUAUGCUUGCGGCUCGCUAAUUGACUUUUAUUGCAAGUGUGGAAUAAUUGGAUCUGCAAUUAAAGUGUUUUCAUGCAUGACUGAAAGAAGCGUGGCAUGCACAAAUGCUCUGAUUGCUGGUUAUGCUCAAGUAAACUUAGUUGAAGCUGUAAAUAUAUUUCAGAAUAUGCUGGCUGGUGGACUGAGGCCAUCAGAAGUCACUUUCGCCACCCUUUUGGAAUCAUGCACUGGUGACACUAAUCUGCAUUUCGGAAAGCAAAUUCACUGUUCUAUUUUAAAACUAGGUCUUGCACAUCAUGAUGAAUUUAUAGCCGUCUCGGUCUUGGGCAUGUACAUGAAUGCUCAAAAAAUGACAGAUGCAAACAUUUUUUUCUGCGAGCUUCCUUAUCCAAAAAGCACAAUAAUUUGGACUGCUAUGAUAUCAGGAAGCAUUCAAAAUGACUGUUGUGAGAAUGCAUUAUUUUGGUAUAGUGAAAUGUGUCAUCAUAAUGCGAAGCCAGACCAAGCGACAUUUGCAAGUGUACUUAGAGCAUGCUCUAUGUUAGCAUCUUUGGAGGAUGGCAGGAAAAUGCACUCUUUAAUCUUUCGUACUGCUUAUAAUGAAGAUGAGCUGAUAGGCAGUGCGCUUGUAGAUAUGUAUGCUAAAUGUGGGGAUAUGAGAAGUUCAGCACAUGUUUUUGGUGAAAUGGUUAGCAAGAAAGACGUUAUUUCAUGGAACUCAAUCAUUGUUGGAUAUGCAAAAAAUGGUUAUGCGGAAAAUGCUCUUAAGAUCUUUGAAGAGAUGAAUCAGGCGCAUGUAAAACCUGACGAAGUCACAUUCCUUGGUGUUCUUACUGCAUGUAAUCAUGCAGGAAUGGUAUUCGAAGGUCAAAAAAUAUUUAAUAAUAUGAUUCAUUGUUAUGGGGUUCGUCCACGAAUAGAUCACUGUGCUUGCAUGAUUGACCUUUUUGGGCGUUGGGGUUUUCUCAAAGAAGCAGAGGAGUUCAUUGUCAACCUAGACUUUGAGCCUGAUGCUAUGUUAUGGUCCACAUAUCUCGGUGCAUGCAGAUUGCACGGGGAUGACGUAAGAGGGCAGUAUGCAGCAGAAAAGCUUAUUCAGUUGCAACCACAAAAUUCUUCUCCAUAUGUGCUGCUUUCCAAUAUAUAUGCGGAAUCAGGCAACUGGGAGGGGGUUAAUUCAGUGAGGACAAAAAUGCAAGAAAGAGGAGUUAAAAAGUUUCCUGGAUAUAGUUGGAGGUCAUAAAUCUCGUCCUAAUUCUGGUGAAAUACUUGCACUCUUGAAAAGAUUAAAUGCAUUGAUGAAAUCUGGAUCUUAUAUGCUUGAUUAAGAAUAAAUGUAUAUGCUCUCCAGACUAUCAAUUGAUCUUGAUAUUAACAGGAAUUGAACCACUCUCUUCAUUAAUUGACGUAUUCAAGUAUAAAUAUGGUGCUUGUCGAGCAAAAGCUCCAGUUCUGUUAAAUUCCAACUAUCGGGCGAGAAGUCAUUAAGGGAUUAUGGAAAACAAACUUAUUUUGAUUUUGGAGUUCAAGGGAGGGAAGGAUGUUGAGACUUUUGCAAAGCAUGAGAUUUUAUGAUGGGUUGCAGAUAAUUUGUAUUGGCUAUUUUACGGAGAUUGACCUUGAAAUGGUAUUUUGCUCAGAUGUCUUAAUUUUCUCUCUCCUUGACAUUAUUGGAGAAACACCAGAAGAGUUACUAUUCAGAAUCUACUUUGGUUCCUGAAUUGCAGUAAGUUAACAGUUUCGGAAAAGUAAGAAGGAAAAAUUUGAUUGCUUCUCUCUUUUCGUCUAAGCUCAAGUAGACAAGACAAAAUUUCUCCUUGCUACUGAAGGUAUUUGUUUCAGAUUCCUCCUUGCUAGAGCAUAGACAUUUUUUUUUCUACGUAUAUUAGCUUCAUUCAUCUAUUAUGUUGCCUUAAUGUAUAUACUGCAUAUUGGUUACCAAUUGACUCUUGCUGAUUAGUUCAAGUGAAUGGCCAUGAUUUCUCUAAUUUGUUUCGGCUCCUUUGAAACUAUCAUAUUUACCAUGGUCAAUUCUAUGGAUUACAACAUUCAAAUAAGUCUUAAUAUCAAUAAAUUUGGGUCGGCUACAUCAUGACACCAUCUACUGAACAAUCUAAUAAGUCAAAUCCUUUGUAUCGUUUGGGUACAUUAAUGUGAUCUCUCUCUCUCUCUCGGCGCCCCCCCCCCCAAAUUGGUUUUGUUGUCACAUUGUUAUUGAGAACAUGACUUUAUUUGUGUCUGCAUGACACACUCAAACCACAGCAUCAAAACCGCAUUUUCUACCUUGUAUAUUUUAGUAUGACCACAUGCCGAUUUUAUCAUCAUUUCCUUUACAAUCCUCUAACGGGUAUUUCGUCCUUCAAUGACACAACAUUGAUUACCAUAAACCGUAGUUGGUCUGAUAUCAAUCAUGCAAAACUUUGUCUUUUAACUUUAUAGGUAUCUUCCAAUUGCAUAGAAUCCUCAUAUCUUUUUUCACCUCAUUCUACAUGCUCUAAGAGCAUUGCAUCCCUUGUCCUCAGUUGUCCUUAAUAAUUAAACAUAAAUAUGUAAAAAAAUAAUUAUUAUGUAGGACAACAUGAAGCUCUAUAUUGACUUCAUUAUCAUUCUUACUUUUGCUAUGACUAAGGGCUUGUUUGGUAGGCUCGUAUUUUUGCUUUUAUUUUUUGUAGAAGAGCUUCUUGAAAAAGUUACAUUGGGCUCGUUCGACAAGGCUUUUGAAAAGUCAAAAGUUGCUUAUGAAAUUAAAAAAACUACUUUAAAUAUGUUUGGAUAAUUUUUCGGAGUGCUUUGUUUAGUUAAAAGAGUUUUUAAAGAAAGCCGAUAUAAUGAGGGAGCUCUUUUCCAAAGAAGUAAAAGCAAAAGCAUAAGUCUUGUCAAAUGAAUAUCUUAGGCCAGCUUCCUCUAAAAGCUUUUCUAAUCGGAGAAAACACUUUUAAAAAAUUAUCUAAACGGGUUAAAAAAUAACUUCUUAGUCUCAGAAUGACUUUUCAAAAACUUUGCCAAAUGGGCCCAAAAAGACUUUCGUGCAUUAUGCCUUAAUUCUACCUAAAUUAAGAUAUAAGCAUGUUUGGAAGUUAUUUAUAAUCAGUUUAAAUUAUACAUAAAUAAAAAUGAGUGGUAGAUCUGUGAGUAUUACUUGUGGACUCCAUGAAAUAUGAGGAUAAAAAGUUGUGAUCUCCCUCCCUCCCUCUUAAAAUUGGUUUAGUUGUCACAUUGCUAUUGAGAACAUAGCUUUAUUUGUGUCUACCAAGACACACUCAAACCACCUUAGUCCCCUCCCCCCGGGGCGGUCUCCCAAAUUAGCAUUAAAACCGCAUUUUCUACUUUAUAUAUUUUAGUAUGACCAUGUGCCCAUUUCAUCAUCAUUUCCUUUACAAUCCUCUAACGGGUAUUUUGUCUUUCAAUGACAACAUUGAUUACCAUAAACCGUAGUUAGUAUGAUACCAAUUAUGUAAAACUUUGCCUUUUAACUUUAUAGGUAUCUUCCAAUUGCAUAGAAUCCUCGUAAUAUAUUCUUUUUUUUUUUUUUCAUCUUAUUCUACAUGCUCUAAUAGCAUUGCAUCCCUUGUGCUCAGUCGUCCUUAAUAAUUAAACAUAAAUAACAAAAAAAAUUAUUAUCAUGUAAGACAACAUGAAGCUCUGUAUUGAUUUUAUUGUACUUUUGCUUUUGUUACUUGUAGAAGAGCUUCCUGAAAAUGUUACAUUGAGCUCGUUCGACAAGGUUUUUGAAAAGUCAAAAGUUGCUUAUGAAAUUGAAAAAUUACUUUUAAUAUGUUUGGAUAAUUUCCCCAAGGGUCCUUCCUAUCAUCGGUUUUUCCUUUUUAAAAAUCUGAACACCAUAUAGAAAUCUUGUUUAUUUCUUUGUACUUCUCUGUCAAUCUUCUAGGCAAGAAAAUGACCUCUAGUAGAUCUUUUUUGGCAUAAAUGGAACCUCGUGCAUGAGCUCUUUGAAUUACUCUUUAAUCUAUGCUUUAUCACUUUGUUCGACAAUAUAAGUUUGGACUUGCGAAUGCAGAUAUCAGAAAAUAUUAUUCACUCUACAAUGAAGACAGUCCCUUUUAGAUGCGCCCUAGCAACAGGGGUAACAGAGGGGUGCUUUGCAGUGCAAUCAAAACUUCAAGACUGUCGAAAGCAGGUUGUCAUGCUACACAUCGGAGAUCCUGAACUUACUGCAACUUUCCAAUAUAUAUCUAACAAUGAACCAAAUGGAGUGGCGAGAAAUUAUCCAUGUAGGCGAUCCAGAAUUUGUUGGGAAAGCUACUCAACACAAUCCUCAGAACUUUCAGAACUUGAAAAUGGUCUUCACUGUAACAACUUCCAAUGUUCUCCCACCUCUCAGCGACUCUGCCCCAUGCACACGCCGUUAAUCCACCUGCACCUCUUGUUGCCUCGUGGACAUCUGUCACUGAAUCAAUCCCUCGUCAUCUCACCGCCAUGACGGUCUUCAUCAUCCCGAAACAAGUGUCAUUUGACAAUUUUUCCUCUCAUCUCUACUUGCAAGAGGAAUAAAAAUAAAAUAAAAUCAUGUAAUUGGCCUAUCGGCUGUAUUUGUAUUUGGAGUAACAGGAUCCUACACACAUGCAUUUAGUUCUUUAUCUUUUAUUAUGAAAUGGAAAAUCAUUUUCUCAUGUAGUA
rnacentral:lncRNA from 1 species